ensembl:lncRNA
GCUUUUUCUCUUUGAGAAUCGUCACUUUAAGUGAAAAUCAAGAGUUUUCUCUUCGAGAAUCCCCCACUUAUGCGAAAAUCACGAAUUUUCUCUUCUCAAAUACCCCAUUUCAGCGAAAAUCACGCGUUUUCUCUUCGGACAUCCCCCAUUUAACUUGAAAAUCACGCGUUUUCUCUUCAUGAAUCUUCCAUUAAACCUGAAAAUCACGUGUUUUCUCUUCGCAAAUCCCCCAUUUAUGUGAAAACACGUGUUUUCUCUUCGAAAAUUUCCCAUUUAACCUGAAAAUCACGCGUUUUCUCUUCGCAAAUCCCCCAUUUAAGCGAAAAACACGCGCUUUCUCUUCACAAAUCCCCCAUUUAAGCAAAAAUCACGCGUUUUCUCUUCAGGAAUCUUCCAUUUAACCCGAAAACCACGCGUUUUCUCUUCACAAAUCCCCCAUUUAAGCGAAAAUCACGCGUUUUCUCAAAUCCCACAUUUAAGCGAAAGUCACGUGUUUUCUCUUCGGAAAUCCCCCAUUUAACCAGACAACCAAGAAUUUUCUCUUCGAGAAUCCCCCAUUUAACCCGAAAAUCAUGUGUUUUCUCAAAUCCCACAUUUAAGCGAAAAUCACGCAUUUUCUCUUUGCAAAUCCCCCAAUUAACACAAAAAACCACGAGUUUUCUCUUCGAGAAUCCAACAUUUAAGCGAAAAUCACACGUUUUCUCUUUGCAAAUCCCCCAUUUAACUUGAAAAUCAUGCGUUUUCUCUUCAGGAUUCCAACAUUUAACCUGAAAAUAACGCGUUUUCUCUUCACAAAUCCCCCAUUUAUGUGGAAAACACGUGUUUUCUCUUCGAAAAUCCCCCUUUAACCUGAAAAUCAGGCGCUUUCUCUUCACAAAUCUUCCAUUUAAGCGAAAAACACGCGUUUUCUCUUCACAAAUCCACCAUUUAAGAAAAAAUCACGCGUUUUCUCUUCAGGAAUCUUCCACUUAACCCGAAAAUCACGCGUUUUCUUUUCAGAAAUUACCCAUUUAAGCGAAAAUCACGCGUUUUCUCUUCGAGAAUCCAACAUUUAAGCAAAAAUCACGCGUUUUCUCAAAUCCCACAUUUAAGCGAAAGUCACGCGUUUUCUCUUCGCAAAUCCCCCAUUUAACCAGAAAACCAAGCAUUUUCUCUUCGAGAAUCUUCCAUUUAACCCGAAAAUCACGCGUUUUCUCUUCGCAAAUCCCCCAUUUAUGUGGAAAACACGUGUUUUCUCCUCGAAAAUCCCCCAUUUAACCCGAUAAUCGCACAUUUUCAAUUUGCAAGUCCCCCAUUUUAGCGAAAAACACGCGUUUUCUCUUCGCAAAUCCCCCAUUUAACCAGAAAAUCAUGCGUUUUCUCUUCGGAAAUCCCCCAUUUAAGCGGAAAACACGUGUUUUCUCUCCGAGAAUCCAACACUUAAGCGAAAAUCACGCGUUUUCUCAAAUCCCACAUUAAAGCGAAUGUCACGCGUUUUCUCUUCGCAAAUCCCCCAUUUAACCAGAAAACCAAGCAUUUUCUCUUCGCAAAUCCCCCAUUUUACCAGAAAAACACGCGUUUUCUCUUCGAAAAUCCCCCAUUUAACCCGAAAAUCACGCGUUUUCCCUUCGCAAAUCCCCCAAUUAACACAAAAAAACACGAGUUUUCUCUUCAGAAAUCCCACAUUUAAGCGAAAAUCACACGUUUUCUCUUCGCAAAACCCCCAUUUAAGUGAAAAUCUCACGUUUUCUCUUUGAGAAUCGUCAAUUUAAGUGAAAAUCACACGUUUUCUCUUCGCAAAUCCCCCAUUUAAACGAAAAUCACGCGUUUUCUCUUCGAGAAUCCAACAUUUAACGAAAAUCACGCGUUUUCUCAAAUCCCCCAUUUAAGCGAAAAUCAUGCGUUUUCUCUUCGCAAAUCCCCAUUUAACCAGAAAAUCAUGCGUUUUAUCUUCGGAAAUCCCCCAUUUAACCAGAAAAUCACUCGUUUUCUUUUCUCAAAUCCCCCAUUUAACGGAAAAUCACGCAUUUUCUCUUUGCAAAUCCCCCAAU